rnacentral:rRNA from 1 species
CCUACGGGUGGCAGCAGUGGGGAAUAUUGGACAAUGGGGGGAACCCUGAUCCAGCCAUGCCGCGUGUGUGAAGAAGGCCCUCGGGUUGUAAAGCACUUUCAGUGAGGAAGAACGCCUGGUGGUUAAUACCCAUCAGGAAAGACAUCACUCACAGAAGAAGCACCGGCUAACUCCGUGCCAGCAGCCGCGGUAAUACGGAGGGUGCGAGCGUUAAUCGGAAUUACUGGGCGUAAAGCGCGCGUAGGUGGCUUGAUAAGCCGGUUGUGAAAGCCCCGGGCUCAACCUGGGAACGGCAUCCGGAACUGUCAAGCUAGAGUGCAGGAGAGGAAGGUAGAAUUCCCGGUGUAGCGGUGAAAUGCGUAGAGAUCGGGAGGAAUACCAGUGGCGAAGGCGGCCUUCUGGACUGACACUGACACUGAGGUGCGAAAGCGUGGGUAGCAAACAGGAUUAGAUACCCAGUAGUC